rnacentral:rRNA from 1 species
AGCCUGAACGCUGGCGGCGUGGCUAAGACAUGCAAGUCGAACGGGUGUAGCAAUACACCAGUGGCGGACGGGUGAGUAAUGUAUCGCUAACGUGCCCUAGAGCUUGGGAUAGCCGGGAGAAAUUCCGGGUAAUACCAGAUGAAAUAUCCUUGUCGCAUGGCGAGGAUCUCAAAGCAGUAAUGCAC